UACGUAGGGACCAAGCGUUGUUCGGAUUUACUGGGCGUAAAGGGCGCGUAGGCGGCGUGUUAAGUCAGCUGUGAAAUCUCCAAGCUUAACUUGGAACGGUCAGCUGAUACUGAUGUGCUAGAGUGCAGAAGGGGCAAUCGGAAUUCUUGGUGUAGCGGUGAAAUGCGUAGAUAUCAAGAGGAACACCUGAGGUGAAGACGGGUAGCUGGGCCGACACUGACGCUGAGGCGCGAAAGCCAGGGGAGCGAACGGG
rnacentral:rRNA from 1 species